UGUGUGUGUGUGGUAGCGUUUGUACAACUAUAUAGUGGUCUUCUUGUUAUUUUUACUUUUAUUUAUUUAUGAUUUAUUAAGUUAGUUUUACAGUAAAAAUAUUUAUUACGUUGUAAUUCUAGCUUUAAAUCGUUACGUGAAAGACUCAGAAUGCUAAAAACUAGUGUGUAAAUAUUAAUCCAACAGGUACUGUUAGAGUACCUCACCUGCGUAGUCCCUUCCUGCUACAAAAUAAUCAUUUCGUGCGUCUUACGUUAUUCCAAUAGUGUUAACGAGGCACCAUGGCAGAAGCCCACUCAGCCGUUGCCUUCUCAUUUGCCAUCACCCACGAUGGCUGGGAUGUCAACUUUGACCGAGAAGUGCUUUAUCUGGUCUGGGAGUCUGGUCUGCGCUCCUGGAAGAAACGUCUGGCACGCUUCAAGAACAGCGUCCUGAAUGGAGUAUACCCCGGACAUUUGCAAUCACUGUAUGUGCUGUGGACCCUGCUCGCAGCAGCGCAUUUUGGAGGCUUUCAUAUACCCUUUGGUUUAGUACAAAAAGCACUUACCGUGUUACCUAGCUCCUCGACAAUGUGGCAAGUAAUCGCUUGUUUACUGGCCGCCCUCACGAUGUGGCUUUCCGUUAUAUUUCUCAUGAGAUAUAUGCUAAAGGUGCUGCUUAUGUACAAGGGUUGGAUGUACGAAUCGCGCGUACCUGGGUCGAAGAUAUCACUAAAAACAAAGUUAUGGGCUAGCGUCGUCAAAGUGUUGUCAGGCUGGAACAAGCCCCGGCUAUACAGCUUCCAGGGCUCGCUGCCGAGACUGCCCCUGCCCGGCGUGAAGGACACCAUGAUGAGGUAUUUGAUCAGCGUGCGGCCCUUGUUAGACGAUGAAAAUUAUCGCCGAGUGGAAAGAUUAGCGACAGAGUUUGAAGAAACAAUCGCUGUCAAACUACAGAGAUAUCUCGUGCUGAAAUCAUGGUGGUCAUCCAACUACGUGUCCGAUUGGUGGGAGGAGUACGUUUACCUGAGGGGAAGGUCGCCUCUCAUGGUCAACUCCAACUUCUACGGAACCGACGCCAUUCUGCUGAAGCCCACGAACAAUCAAGCAGCGCGCGCCGGGGUGGUCAUAUACCUCUGUCUGCAAUUCCGAAGGCUUAUUGAUAGACAGGAACUGGAACCAAUAAUGCUACAAGGCAUGGUGCCCCUGUGCUCGGCGCAGUACGAGCGGCUAUUCAACACGGUGCGCGUGCCCGGCGUGGAGAGUGACAAGAUCGUGCACUACCAGGACUGCAGCCACAUCACCGUCUACCACAAGGGCCGCUACUUCAAGGUCAUCAUCUACUACAGGGGACGCCUGCUCAAGCCGGCGGAGAUACAAGUCCAAAUCCAGCAGAUCCUGGACGACAAGUCGGCGCCGAUGCCGUGCGAGCCGGAGCUGGCCGCGCUGACGGCGGGCGAGCGCUCGCCCUGGGCGCACAUCCGCCAGACCAUGUUCAACCGCGGCCACAACCGCACCUCGCUGCACUGCAUCGAGCGCGCUGCCUUCAACGUCUGCUUAGAUGACAUGGAGUACGGGUACGACGAGAAGGACCCGAGCAAGUUGGACGAGUACGGGCGGGUGCUGCUGCACGGCAAGGGCUGCGACCGCUGGUUCGACAAGUCCUUCAACCUGUGCUUCAGCACCAACGGCUACGUCGGAUUCAAUGCGGAACAUACAUGGGCCGACGCGCCUGUGAUGGCUCAUCUUUGGGAAUAUGUUAUUUGGAGCGAAAUAGAAAUCGGAUACGCUCCGGACGGCAACACGCGGGGCUCGGUGGAGACGCCGCCGCCAGCGCCCAUCCGCCUGCAGUGGGAGCUGGAGCACGAGGAGCUGGCCAGGGCCAUCGACAGCUCGUACUGCGUCGCGCAGAAGCUACUCAACGACGUCGACCUCAAGAUACUCAUGUACAACAAGUAUGGGAAAGGGUUCAUGAAAAAAUGCCGCAUGUCGCCGGACGCGUUCAUCCAGCUGAUCUUACAGCUGUCGUACUACCGCACGGCAGGCCGCUUCUGUCUCACUUACGAAGCCUCCAUGACGCGUCUGUUCCGCGAGGGCCGCACCGAGACCGUGCGCCCCUGCACCAUCGAGAGCUCCGCCUGGGUCACGGCCAUGGAGAACCCUAACGCCACCGUUGAAGAGAAGCUCGAGCUGUUCAGUCUAGCCGGCCAGCGGCACCAGCUGGGCUACCAGGACGCGAUGGCCGGGCACGGCAUCGACCGCCACCUGUUCUGCCUGUACGUGGUCUCCAAGUACCUGGAGCUGGAGUCGCCCUUCCUGCAGGAGGUGUUCAACGAGCCCUGGCGGCUAUCCACCAGCCAGACCCCGCACGGUCAAACUAACCAGCUGGACCUGAAGAAGCACCCGAAGUGCAUCAGCACGGGUGGCGGCUUCGGCCCCGUGGCCGACGACGGGUACGGCGUCUCCUACAUCAUCGCCGGCGAGGACCUGUUGUUCUUCCACGUCUCCAGCAAAAAGAGCUGCCCCAAGACGAGCUCGACUAACUUCGUGAAUCAAAUAGAAAGAUCCCUAAAAGACGUCCAAGACCUCUUCAACGAAUAUAAUAAAAAAAAGAAUGGGGCUAAAAACAGUAAAUAAUAGUAGUAGACUCGUACACAGUUUUAUAAAAUAUCGCAGUCUCUUGUUGUUGUUAUUGUAUUGAUUAUGUAGUUUAGUAAAAUUUUAAAAUAUUAGGUAUAUGCGGGGACUACGAGUAUUUGCUAUGUUAUUAUAUUUGUAGCGUGACGUAGGCACAAAUGUACGUACGUUCAAGGACCAAAACCAUCAAAACAUCGGCAUGUACAGUUAUUCAUGUAGAAUAGAAUCACAAGAUAAAUUAUGUAUAAUACGUAGGUUAAAAAUUUUAUGACCAGACAUUUGACAAAAACUGAUUAUAUGCAUGUUGAAGUUUGUUAUUCAUUUCUAAAAUGUAUUUUUAUAAAUUUUACCAAAUCCUAACAAAUUCAGUGCCAAGAACAAGCUAGGUGUGUUCUGUUUGUAUUGGAAAUGGGGCGCUUGGCACUGAACGUGUUAACCUUCGGUUGGCGUUUUGUAGGAAAAAGUAAAUAAUGGUAACGUUCCGAAAUGACUAGCCAGUGGGUGUGCCCUGAGGAGCGACCCGGCCGAGCAUGCCGCACGUGGUGGAGCCUGAAACGACUAGCCAGUGGGUGUGCCCUGAGGUGUCAGGGAGGAGCGACCCGGCCGAGCAUGCCGCACGUGGUGGAGCCUGAAACGACUAGCCAGUGGGUGUGCCCUGAGGUGUCAGGGAGGAGCGACCCGGCCGAGCAUGCCGCACGUGGUGGAGCCUGAAACGACUAGCCAGUGGGUGUGCCCUGAGGUGUCAGGGAGGAGCGACCCGGCCGAGCAUGCCGCACGUGGUGGAGCCUGAAACGACUAGCCAGUGGGUGUGCCCUGAGGUGUCAGGGAAGAGCGACCCGGCCGAGCAUGCCGCACGUGGUGGAGCCUGAAACGACUAGCCAGUGGGUGUGCCCUGAGGUGUCAGGGAGGAGCGACCCGGCCGAGCAUGCCGCACGUGGUGGAGCCUGAAACGACUAGCCAGUGGGUGUGCCCUGAGGUGUCAGGGAGGAGCGACCCGGCCGAGCAUGCCGCACGUGGUGGAGCCUGAAACGACUAGCCAGUGGGUGUGCCCUGAGGUGUCAGGGAGGAGCGACCCGGCCGAGCAUGCCGCACGUGGUGGAGCCUGAAACGACUAGCCAGUGGGUGUGCCCUGAGGUGUCAGGGAGGAGCGACCCGGCCGAGCAUGCCGCACGUGGUGGAGCCUGAAACGACUAGCCAGUGGGUGUGCCCUGAGGUGUCAGGGAGGAGCGACCCGGCCGAGCAUGCCGCACGUGGUGGAGCCUGAAACGGCAUUCAACGGCCGCUUGAAUCAAUCCAAACUAGUUUCAUUUAUUUUAGAUACAUUCUUAGAAUGAUAUACAGUCGUUAAAUAUGAUAAUCUUGAAUAUUUAUAAUUUGCUUUUAUCUGCAUUAUAUUGCUAAGAGGUAAGUUGCUAUAGGUACGUGAUAUAUCACAAGUUAUAUUUAGUAAUGUGUCAAUAACGAAGAAUAGAAAGUAACACUCCAUCUUAGAACCUGAGUUCUUUCAAAACAUAUCCUCACCUUUUCCGCUGUAGGUAAGUCUUUAAACUCAAUCUAUAAGAAAAAGUGUAAAUGCGUUUUAAAUAAAUAUACACAUUAAUUGUACCAGUAAAUUAUUAUUUCAAUUCAUUUGGCAAUGUCAAUCAUUUAUUCAUUACGUGUGUAAAUAUUCAAAAUAAACUUUCAAUCAAUAAUUACUUCACAAUAAAUAAUUCAUAAUAACAAAAUAAUUAAUUCAUUAGAAAUACAAGAAUGACUAAAUGACAUACAGACGAAGACACUUAUUAGAAAAACUUAUUACGUUGUUAUAUUACAUAUGUGCAAAUUUUUCAUUUCUCAGUCACUCGCCUACUUAUUGGUUCAUUUUUCAGAACCAACACUAACCAAAAGACAGCACAACAGGCCAGUUUCUCGAUUCUGUCACAUUACACCAAUCAAAUCUUACAAAAAAAUCUGCUAAAAAACAAUGCGUGAUGUAGUUCUGUAUUUUUUGUAUGUUCUUUGGAGUCCUUGAAGGAAUAUGAAACUAUGUUUUGCAAGCAAAAAAGGUGGUGCUCCCUGCGUAAUUUGCGAAAAACGCAAACUUUUCGGACUCUUCAGUGUUUGCAAUUUUAUUAUAAAACUAUGGGUUCUUGGUCAAAACUUGCUGUGUAAUGUUGAAAUUACAUUAAAUUUAGAACCAUUUACAGCGCCGUAUGUCAAAUAGAGAUUGAGAUAUGAGGCUUUAAAAAAAUGGUAUUUUUUUCUUUUUAACUAAAUUUUUCUUUUUGCCUAUAUUUUAGGUCAAAUAUCGGCGCAACCGCUCAUGCUAUGAGAUAUAUUGCGAUAAAUAAAGUUGUAGUAAAUUUAAUUACCUUAAAUAACCUUAAAAUAAAAAAAAUAAAAGUGCAAGAAAGGGUCAGUAAGUUCUCUUGUCAUCAUAAAAAAAUGAAAUUGCUAUAAUGGGGAGGGCAACUAAUGUAUUGUUUAAGGCAUAGUCAAAAUCCCUACAAAAGCAGUACCAAUCGUCGAGAGCGCAAUCUAGGAUUAGCUAUUACCGGCCUUCCCCGAUAGCAGCAGAGCGCUGUUAGAGAUCAACCAUUUUUAAAAUGCACUCCACUCCUAAGCACUUCAUUCAUUCAGUAAUGAAAUCAAGAUACAAUCUGUAGUUUUGCUUGUUUUUCGGCCCCACUGUUUGAUCGUAGCCAUUGAUCGUAGUCCACGAUGCCGAUUCUGAUUUACCAAGUUUAUCUUGUUUUGAUACGACCUGAUAGUUUUGAUCAUGUCGUGAUCUUGUAUUGACACGACUAACAAACAGUACACACAAGAGCAGCAGUAAGCGCGAGCUAGACAUUUAAUGACACGACUUCUAGUAAUUCCAGUGCGGUUCACCAGCACCUCGCCAAUCAGCGUGAACUAUCGUCAAGAUCGUAUCAAAACAAGAUCAACUUGUUAAAUCAGAAUCGGCAUCGUGGACUACUAUCAAUGGCUACGACCUAAAAGUGGGGCUGAAAAACAAGCAAUAGUACAGAUUGUAUCUUGAUUUCAUUACUGAAUGAAUGAAGUGCUUAGGAGUGGAGUGCAUUUUAAAAAUAAUUGAUCUCUAAAAGCGCUCUGCUGCUAUCGGGGAAGAUUGGUACUGCUUUUGUAGGGAUUUUGACAAUGCCUUAAACAAUACAUAGCAACUUCAUUUUUUAGGGUUCCGUACCCAAAGGGUAAAAACGGGACCCUAUUACUAAGACUCCGCUGUCCGUCCGUCUGUCUGUCACCAGGCUGGUAUCUCAUGAACCGUGAUAGCUAGACAGUUGAAAUAUUCACAGAUGAUGUAUUUCUGUUGCCGCUAUAACAACAAAUACUAAUAAAGAAACUCACAUACAUACAAACAUGAACGCGGAAAACAGAAUAAAAUUAAUAUUUAAGUGGGGCUCCCAUAGAACAAACGUGAUUUUAUUUGCCGUUUUUGUGUGUAAUGGUACGGAACCUUUCGUGCGCGAGUCCGACUCGCACUUGGCCGGUUGUUUUUAUGAUAACACGAGAACUGUAGGUCUUACUGAUCCCUUCAUGCACUUAAAUGAAAGGUAAUUAAAUUUGCUACAACUUUAUUUAUUGCAAUAUAUCAUAGCAUGAGCGCUUGCGCCGAUAUUUGUCUUAAAAUAUAGGCAAAACGAAGAAAUACGUUUUUUUAAAGACUCAUAUCUCAUGAACUAACAGCGACAUACGGCGCUGUAAAUGGGCUUAAAUUUAUCAAAAUUUAAUGUACUUUUAACAUUACGAAGCAAGUUUUGUUCAAAAACCCAAUAAUAAAACUGUAAAAACUAAAAAAGUCCCAAAUUUUUGAGGUUUUUCGCAAAUUACGCAGGGAGCAACACUUAUUUUUGCUUGCAAAAUAUAGUCUCACAUUACUCCAAGGUAUCCAACAACAUACAAAAAAUACAGAACUACAUCACGCAUUGUUUUUUUAUUGUAAGAUUUGACCGAUGUACAUUAUUCGCAAUAAAAAGCGGUCUGAUAAGCCACACGAUAUUUUAUCACUUUUCUUUCGUGCCGUUGACGGAGAUGCGCGAUGUUUUGUUCUAGCCCAGUGUCAACUACUUUAUUCGUGGCUCUGAUGGCUCUGUGUGUCUGGCUAAUCUGCAUAAACAUACUGUGUAGGUAAAAUACACCCAUAUUUUCUUUAAGAGUCCCCGGCAAGCUCGGCCGAAUUGCACCUUUCCAUACAAACGUAGUUCCACUCUCAUUUUAAAACUACGUGUUGGAUUGUAAUGAAACUUUGCACAUACAAUGACAUGAGGUAAAUCUAGGUCUGUAUUUAGUUUUAUUAUUAUUAUUUAUUAUAUAGCUCCAGAUUAUAAAACAAACGAAAUAGAGCAUAAACAAGUUUUGUAUGAAAAACUUAAAUUAGCUGUAUUUUUUUAACUAUGGUAUCUGAAGCUACAUAAACUAAUUACAGACAUAGAUAAACCUUAUCCUAUUGUAAGUACAAAGUUUCAGAGCAAUCUAGCUAAUCGUUUUAGAAUGAGAGCGGAACUACGUUUGUAUAGAGAACCGAGCAUGCCGGGGACCCUUAAAUGUUUCUAAAAGUAUUUAUUUACAAAUUGUAAUGUGUAAAUAAUAUGCAUAUGCUUAAAUGUGUACUUAUAAUGUUAGGAAUGUUGGACACAAGUUUUAUUAAUUAGUAACAGAUUGUGCAAUUAAUUUGUAUACAGGGCAUAUCACCUGUCUUAAUAUGGUAAACGGGUGUAUUUAAUAAUAGCGAACGGCAGCCAAUACGAUAAGAUUAACAACUUUUUAUAUAGUCCGUCCAACAGAACUGUAUCGUUUUAAUACUCUUAUUACUCAAGUUUUACUUAAUUUCUAAAUGUAACCUCUGCAAGAGUACAAUUAACUUAAUUUUCGAUGAGCGCCCCAUUUUAGUUGCUCGUUUUUUGUUUUAUGAUACUUUCAAUAAAAUAAGGUGUUGCAUGAAUAAAGUUAUUUAUACUAACUAAUACUCCAGAAGAACCAUGUUCAAAUAAUUAUAUAGAUAGACCAUAGUAGUUUUACUAAGUGUUAAAAUCAUGCAAUUAAAAAUAUUUUUUAUUAUAUAUGUACUUUAGUUUCGAAAUGCAAUAUUUUCUUCUUUUAUUGUUUGACUUUUUAUCUAAUUUCUGUAAAUAAAAUGUGUAAAA